GCAGCGGCAAAAUCCGUUGCUGGGUUUAGCAGCCUGAGACAAAACAGAGCGCACAACCGCGCAGGCGGUUACUAU
rnacentral:sRNA from 23 species